rnacentral:misc_RNA from 1 species
ACUAUAACUCAUCACAGCAACAGUCGCAUUCUGACCAGCCCCUAGUUUAUCAUACCCAACCAGCUCGAUUGUUCUUGUAGUCAGUAAAGGGCGUUGAGGAUACACCAAAAGGUAGAGCAAACCAUCCAUCCGAUUCAACUGGUUAUAGGCAAUGUUUCCCAUAGCUUGCUUACCCAUAGCACACUGAUAGGUAUUCCUGGGGGACUGAUUGUGAUGCGGAUAAGGUAUCAAACCAGCACAAACACCUAAGAUUGUGAAAGGCUCAAUCUCAAUAUGUGUUGUCUCUGGUGUCGCCUCCUUUUCGUAUAGAGCAAUCAAUGUGUUGUUCUCCUCGUUGACAUCAAGAUAUUCUAUCAAACCAUCCUUUAGAAAGCUGUCGAAGUCACGCAAACCAUCCCUCAACUCUCUCAUGUGGUGCUCUUUGAUCCUGGAAACACCUUUGUCAGCAAUGACAAGCGGACGACAAACACGUCCACCAUCUGAAGCAAUGUAGACACACCGCUGCUUUUCAUUCACGAAGAUGCUUACAAACUCCCCAACUUUACCAGCCCUCCGUAGCCUCCUCAUUGCAUUAGCAAAUCGCUGAGGACUCUUGUGCUUGCCUAGAAUAAGUCCAUUUAAUGUGAUAAGAUAGGAAGUUGGCAUGUGAAGCUCUUCUGGCGAAAGCUGUUCCAAGUCCUCAACACCCAAGCAGUAGCACAAAGACAUGAUUGGGCGCUCAUCCUCAUCAGUCGUAACAUGAGUCAUCAAGGCCAAGUUUUUCACCAAUCCACAAGCUUCACCUUCUGG